UUACUGGGAGCAGUGGAAUGGGUUAGUGGGGUUACUGGGAGGGGUGGGAUGGGUUCCUGGUCAUUACUGGGAGAACUGGGGGAUACUGGGAGUAGUGGAAUGGGUUAUUGCGGUUACUGGGAGCACUGGGAGGGGUUACUGGGAGCACUGGGAGGGGUUACUGGGAGCACUGGGGGAUACUGGGAGCAGUGGAAUGGGUUACUGGGAGUGGUGGGAUGGGUUACUGGGAGCACUGGGGGAUACUGGGAACAGUGGAAUGGGUUACUGGGGUUACUGGGAGUGGUGGGAUGGGUUCCUGGUCGUUACUGGGAGCACUGGGGGGUUACUGGGAGUAGUGGAAUGGGUUACUGCAGUUACUGGGAGUGGUGGGAUGGAUUACUGGGAGUAGUGGGAUGGGUUCCUGGGAGCACUGGGGGAUACUGGGAGUAGUGGAAUGGGUUAUUGUGGUUACUGGGAGUAGUGGGAUGGGUUUCUGGGAGCACUGGGGGCUACUGGGAACAGUGGAAUGGGUUACUGGGGUUACUGGGAGUGGUGGGAUGGGUUCCUGGUCGUUACUGGGAGCACUGGGGGGUUACUGGGAGCACUGGGAGGUUACUGGGUGUCCCCCAGUUCUCCCCAGUUUCGAGGUGGUGCUGGAGCCGGAGGAGAAGUUCCUCUACAUCGACCGGGAGGAGGAUUUCCGGGUGUCCAUCACCGCCAGGUGGGACCCCAAAACCCACCCUCGGGGGGGGUCCUGCCCCCCUCCCCCCCACGGGUGACAGUGUGGGGUGACACCUGUCCCCAUCUUGGUCCCCACGGUUGUCCCCUGGCCCCACACCCUCAUCCUGGCCCCCAUCCCUGUCCCCAUGGGUGCCCUCUGUCCCUCUGUCCCCAUCCUGGUCCCCAUCAUUGUCCCCUGGCCCCACACACUCAUCCCUGUCCUCAUGGUUGUCCUCUGUCCCCAUCUUGGUCCCCACGGUUGUCCCCUGGCCCCACACCCUCAUCCUGGCCCCCAUCCCUGUCCCCAUGGGUGCCCUCUGUCCCUCUGUCCCCAUCCUGGUCCCCAUCAUUGUCCCCUGGCCCCACACACUCAUCCCUGUCCUCAUGGUUGUCCUCUGUCCCCAUCUUGGUCCCCACGGUUGUCCCCUGGCCCCACACCCUCAUCCUGGCCCCCAUCCCUGUCCCCAUGGGUGCCCUCUGUCCCUCUGUCCCCAUCCUGGUCCCCAUCAUUGUCCCCUGGCCCCACACACUCAUCCCUGUCCUCAUGGUUGUCCUCUGUCCCCAUCUUGGUCCCCACGGUUGUCCCCUGGCCCCACACCCUCAUCCUGGCCCCCAUCCCUGUCCCCAUGGGUGCCCUCUGUCCCUCUGUCCCCAUCCUGGUCCCCAUCAUUGUCCCCUGGCCCCACACACUCAUCCCUGUCCUCAUGGUUGUCCUCUGUCCCCAUCUUGGUCCCCACGGUUGUCCCCUGGCCCCACACCCUCAUCCUGGCCCCCAUCCCUGUCCCCAUGGGUGCCCUCUGU
rnacentral:lncRNA from 1 species